rnacentral:lncRNA from 1 species
GGCUAGGGGUCUAAUUGGAGCUAUAGCUACUGGCCUAUGCCACAGCCACAGCAACGCCAGAUCCAAGCCACGUCUGUGACCUACACCACAACUCACGGCAAUGCCGGAUCCCUAACCCACUGAGUGAGGUCAGGGAUCGAACCUGCUACCUUCAUGGUUCCUAGUGGGAUUCGUUAACCACUGAGCCACGACGGGAACUCCGACAUCAGACAUUUUAAAGAACCCAAAUCAGCCUUGUGAACCCAAACUAAGGACAUACAACCUUUUGAUGACUGAGGCAUGGUUGUUGAGUAAAUUACUACUAAUGAUAAUGAUUCCAGUGACCUGUUAUACUUGUCCUCUGCUAGGUCUUGUUUUAAGUAUAUUAAGUGGUUUAUUUUCUUCUCACACUUACCCUAUGGUGGAAUGCUUUGCCAUACCUGUUGGACAGGGAAUGGCACAGAGGCUUGGAGAGUUGAAGUGACCUGCCUUGGUCAUACCUCACUAAGUAGCAGUGGGGUCAGACCUCGGAUGUGUCUGGCUGUAGAGUGCACCUUGCUACCAUUUGGCUUUAACUACUCCAUGGAAAUCUUCCCUCUCAUUUUUAGCUCUUCCCCGCCAACCCCCACUGUGAAGUAUUACACAGAAGUUCUGAGAACAAACGAGUGCAAGUUACACAAUAUAGGUUUUAGAAAUAAUGUGCAAAACCCAUCCAGGACCUCUUAAUUCCGUCAACCACAAGUCCUGCCCAGCCCAUUGGCUCUCUUCUCAUAUCCAGAAGCUGCUGCCUCCUUCUGACUCAACGUGGCAGGGAAAAUAGGCAGUUUCUCUCUAGUGUGUCUCAGGUCUCUUCUGGCCACUCAGCCCUGGCGUGAGUUCCCAACUUCCCAGGUGAACCAGCCAGCUUGUUCUUGAGAGGAGAGAACUUGUAGCUUUCUCUCAGGGGACCCCCAGUAUUAAUGGUACCAUCUCCUCCACUGAUCUGCUGUAUGGAUAACUAUGUUGAUCUUUUAUUCCUGGUAUUUGUUCCUUACUCUCUUGGGCCUCAGAGCAGCAGCACAUAAUUAUUGAGACUCCCAUAGUCUUCUUAUUUCACUUUGCUAUUUUGGAGAAAUCCUGGUCCUUACCAUCACGAAGGACACUCACUGUACAGAGGUGCUCUUGUCCCUGUCUUUGGGGUGGUGAUGGAAUUACAUUUGGGUUUCCUGGCAGCCUUGCCUUUGAAGGUAAUGGACCAUUCAGUGGCACUGUCUGUAUCUGUGUAGAGCCGACUUCGGAUGUAGGAGUUGACUCAGUUUCUCUCUCUCCACUUUUUCUUCAGACGUGGAAUCGAGUAUUAAAAUUUUAUUUCUUCUUACUGAGUCAUAGAGGCAGAAAUCCCCUAGAGGAGACUCAGUGCCUUUCACCUUUUUACCACCAACCACUCAAGCCUCCCCCUUGGCCUGAAACCUAGGGGGGUGGCAACUUCUGUUCCAGUAUCUAAGUGAAGCUCAGGAAGGCUUUUCCAUGUGCCUGUUUUUCAGGAUGCCUGUUUAGGAGUUGUUUAAUUCAAUGGGCGUUGGCUCAAGCGGUUCCUGUUAUAAAAUCUCCUAGUAUUCAAAAACAAUUAGGUU